GCCAGGCAUGGUGGCGCAUGCCUGUAGUCCCAGCUACUUGGGAGGCUGAGGUAGGAGAAUUGCUUGAACCCAGGAGGUGGAGGUUGCAGUGGGCCCCUAUUGCACCACUGCACUCCAGCCUAGGUGACAGAGUGAGACCCUGUCUCAA
ensembl:misc_RNA Metazoa_SRP Metazoan signal recognition particle RNA